CACAGUACUUACAGCGGGGCCGGGUGGCCAAGAAUGAGAGGGACUCUGAAAGAUCUGCUGACGUGUACGUUUAGCAGCGAGCCUUGCCCAAGGAGCCAACGCCGAUCUUCAGGUAUAUCAGGAAACAAUGUGCGGGGUGGCAAGGAGUGGUGUGGGCUGGACGGGGAUGUCGGGGACACAGGCUGCGGGGGUGUCGGGACGGAGGCGGGGGAGGGUUCCGACGCCGGGGACCAGCUGGAGGGGACGGACACAACUCCGGACGACGCUCUUCACCUCCAGAGACGGGUGGGACUCCUCAGUGGGGUGGCUCUAAUCGUCGGAACUAUGAUCGGGUCUGGGAUUUUCGUAUCGCCGUCUGGCUUGUUGAUCCGCACGGGAUCGGUCGGGAUGAGUUUCGUCAUCUGGAUAGCAUGCGGCGUCUUGUCGCUUUUAGGUGCACUGGCCUACGCUGAGCUGGGAACUAUGAACACGAGUUGUGGUGCCGAAUACGCGUACUUCAUGGAUGCGUUCGGUCCACUUCCAGCAUUCCUGUUCUCUUGGGUGUCCACACUGGUGCUCAAACCCUCUCAGAUGGCCAUCAUCUGCCUCAGCUUCGCCAAGUACGCUGUUGAAGCCUUCGUCUCCGAGUGUGAACCACCCGACACUGUCGUUAAACUGGUCUCUGUACUGUCUAUAUUGGUGAUCAUGUACAUCAACUGCUACAGUGUGAACCUGGCGACCGGAGUUAUGAACGCGUUCACAGCUGCAAAGCUGAUCGCCAUCCUCAUAGUCAUUGUUGGAGGCGCAUGGAAACUUCUAGAAGGUAACACACAAAAUCUAGAACAGCCGUUCCAAGGGACGACUUCGUCCAUUGGCAACAUCGCAACAGCCUUCUACACCGGGUUGUGGGCGUAUGACGGCUGGAACAACUUAAACUAUGUCACGGAAGAAAUAAAAAAUCCAUCAAAGAAUCUUCCUAGAGCAAUAAUCAUCGGCAUCCCACUAGUGACGGUCUGUUACGUGCUGAUAAACAUCUCCUACUUGGCCGUAAUGUCUGCGGCAGAAAUGGUCGAGUCGGAGGCGGUUGCUGUUACUUUUGGCAACCGAAUCCUCGGCCUCAUGGCAUGGCUGAUGCCUUUGUCCGUCACAAUUUCAACGUUCGGCUCAGCCAAUGGAACUCUCUUUGCAGCUGGAAGACUGUGUUUUGCAGCCAGCAGAGAGGGACAUCUGAUGGGGGUCCUGUCUUACGUACAUGUAAGGAGGAUGACACCUGCCCCUGGACUAAUAUUCCAUUCUCUCAUAGCAAUAGCAAUGGUGCUGUCGGGGACAAUCAACUCCUUGAUAGACUUCUUUAGCUUCACGGCUUGGAUCUUCUACGGAGGAGCGAUGUUGGCGUUGAUAGUGAUGAGGUUCACCAGACCAAACUUCCCCAGGCCCUACAAGGUGCCUAUUAUCAUUCCAGUUUUGGUCCUGGUAAUCUCUACGUAUCUCGUCAUAGCUCCCAUCAUAGACACACCCCAAGUCGAGUACUUGUACGCGUGUCUCUUCAUCAUAGCAGGCCUCCUGUUCUACAUACCCUUCGUACACUUCAAGUACAACCCAGCCAUCUUAGGUAAGUACCUCUUUUCAAACUCUCUCAUUUCCUCAGUUAACAGGUACGUACUUGUUUGAAUAUGUUCGGAUUGAUUUCGUGAUUAGUCCGAAAUGUAAAUUCCAUGCGUUUUGUUUUAAAAUCCAGGCAAUGGGAACAGCACUGAUUGUGGAUUGAACAAAUGAUAGUUUAAAGCUACAGUAUUAACUAUUUAUUAAGUUAAUGUUUACGAAAAAGUGGAAUUGGGAUAGAGCUCUAAAGGGUUUUGAAAGUGAUAGGCAUCAUACGUUAAAUUGAUUUGUUCUUUAAACUAAAUAUUGGUUAGGCCUGUAUAGUUUUUGGUUGGUUUAACGACAAACAAAGAUUUGCAGCUUUUAAUACUAAGAUAACUCAGGGUAUCAAAGGUAAUUUAUAAAUUAGGGUUCCUCUACAACAAACGGUAGACUCAUGGUUAUCCUAAGCUCAAAGAAAAACAGUCGAGAGAAAUUGAAAAAAUUAAAACUAGAUGGGUGUUUUGUGACUCUAUAUGAAACACUGACAUCAAUUUUAAAAUUAUUUUAUUUUAUUUAUUUUUUUUUUAACCAAAGGACUCUUUUUGUUUAAUGUUUGACUAUUGAUGUUCAACUAUUGAUUAAAGGAUAUUAACAUAUUUUUUUAAAAUUUAAUUGUUGGCAUGAAAAUUAAAGUUUUAUUUAGUCCUCUUCAACACGGGCUUAAAAAAAUAAAUUAUGAAAGUAGGCCUAGGCCUAUUUGGGGGAAGUAAUUUUUCCUGGUCCCUUUCAAUAUACUUUUAAGCAUAAUUAUCAGCAUCGCCCUAACCAGGAGAACUAUCUGUUCAACAAAAAUUUCCUUUAAUAAUCACGAGUCUACUAGAGUACAAAAUAAUUUAAAAAAAUUCCAAAACUAAAUGCUUAGAGCUGAGUCAAUGAAUCCGACAUGCUUUAUAUUUUUAUUUGCUCAUCCCUCCCAUCAUAUUAAGUUUCUCAUUAACUGAGUACGUUGCUGCUACGGUGGUCGAGGUAGUUUAGGUCUAAGUACGUAGUUGUUGUGCUGGCGACAGUUUGCUGGCGACAAUUUCCUUUCAGAGUGGCCGAUUGUUGUCCGCCUCAGCCAAGUGCGGUGGUUGGCAGCAUCGACCUCCUCUGAUAGUGUCACAGUAUUCUGUCAACUACUACUAGAGGUGGCCCCUACCCAGAGCGUAGUCUAUGAUUAAUACGUCAUCGUCUAUCUAUGGGUGUCUAAUUAAGUUUUAUAAUAGUUACUCUACAAAAGUGGAAACCGGUUUUGUACAAGAUGAUUUUCAUCGAGGCUGUGCAAUUUGAACAAUUAAAAUUAUUUAUCAAAGGUGCAUUUAAUCAUGGAACAGGAUUUAUAUUUUACCUAAAAAUAUAUCAUUUUUACAAGUGGUAAAUUUUUACCCAUACCGAAGCAUAAAUUUCAUUUUUAAAUAUUGAAAUUUUAUCAGUAAAGAUUGCGUUGUUGUGACAUAAGAAAUAAUUUUUGUUUACUUAAAAUGAGCAUAUUGUUUGACAUUUAGAGAACUAACUAGAGAUGUAAUCUGUGAUAACGAAACUAGACUUAAAAUUUAGAAGAAUUAUUCUUUCUAAUACAAAUAGUUUUAAAUCCAACUAAAUUGAUUCAAUGUUAUCACCCAAUUUUAUUACAGUUAUUACUUGUUGAAUUACAAUUUCACAAAGCUUUCUCAUGUUAUAGUGCAUAGGCCUACUUAACAAAAUUUUCUUGUAACUUAGUAGAGAAAAGAUAUUUUUCAAAGUUUUUCAUUGUCUUGAUAGUAAACAAAAUAAAUUGCUAAAAUGAACUUUUAACAAAGCAGUAUAAAAAAGAUACCAAUCAGUGCCAGAAAUCUCUGUAUCUAUUUAAUAGAUUUAUUUUUUUAUACCUACCCUCAACAUACAGAUUUGAAUAGCAAGAAUGUAGAAAUGUUUUUGAAUGUACAGGUAAAAAGUAAAAAUCAAAUAAAAGUAUCUUUCUUUUAUGUUUUUUAGUUAGCAAAAUGAAAUAAAAAACGCAAGUCAGGUAAAAAGUACACCUUUUCAACAAUAUUUUUUUGACAUAAACGGUUCAAAAUUUAUUCACAGAAGCAGACAUAUCAGUCUUAUUUAAAAAUUAGUGAAAGAGGCAUUUUUAUCGAGCAAUUUUACACGUGAUUCGGUUAGACAGUAUGCUGCGUGAAACGAGGUUAAAGAUUACGGAUAAUUAUUAGAAAUACCUUACAAUAUCAAUCCAAGCAAUGACUAUUCUUAGUUAGCCCGUCUAUCUAUGUCUGUCUUAUACUUGUGCUGUCUCUUUUUUGUAUCUUUUAGUAAAAUAUGACUAUUAUCUUUGUUUUAUGCUCUUGUUGAUAAACAGAAUAAUUGUAAUUUUUAUAAUGCUGUUUUAUAUCAAUCGAAUGUAAGAUUGUUACCAAACGGUUACUUGGAUUUCCCACCGAAAUAUCCGGAGGGAAUUCACAACUAAGAAUUGCACUCGGGUAAUAAAGUUGUUGGAAGAAUUUAUUAUUUUGUUACACAAGUGUUAAGUUAUUUUGAAAUAAAAGUUUUGUUAAUAAAAAUAA